rnacentral:rRNA from 1 species
AUGGCGCGCCCCUGCACGCCGUCGUUGGCAGCGGCUCUGCUAUGCCUGGUGAUCAUAUCGGGCGAGCGGUUCUUGCCGCAGUGCGCGGGCUGUACGCGUGAUGAUAGGAGGGCGCUUCUGGACAUCCAGAGUUUCCUCUCUGAGCACUUGCCGUCGAACUACUGGGAUUCGAGCAUCAGAGACUGCUGCCAGUGGAGGGACGUCACCUGCGACUCCCGCACAGGCCGUGUCACGGGCCUGGACCUUGAUGCGUUUCCAUACCCACCUGCGUCGCCACUCAACACUUCUCUCUUCCUUCCCUUGGAGGAGCUGCAGAGUCUGUCCCUGAAGAACGUCGGUAUAAACGGAUGCAUGCCUGGUGCAGGCUUUGAAAUAUGGUCAAAAUUAACAAAACUAAAAGUUCUUGAUCUAUCUGGAAAUAUGUUGAACGACAGUAUCAUCACAUCCUUAGUUGCACUUUCAACAAUUCGAUCCCUCUUCCUCAAUUAUACCGCCUUGAGCUCUGCUGUGACAAUUCAACAAUUGAGCACAAUGAAGCUAGAGACUCUUGAUCUAAGUGAUAAUGCAAUCAACGGAACCAUAUCAACAGGUAUUUGUAAUAUGGAGAUUCUACAAGAGUUACAUCUUAAUGACAAUAUGCUAUUCGGGGAGCUUCCAUCAUGCAUAGGAAAUCUAACUUCCCUCAGGGUUCUCGAUCUGUCAAAUAAUCUAUUAAGAGUCAAGCUCCCAUCUCCUAGCUUUGCAAAGUUCACAUCACUCGUGAAACUUUCACUCUCCAAUAACCAUCUCGAAGGAGUUCUCUUCUUGAGUUCCUUGUCAAACAAUAGACAAUUGACACAUCUAGAACUUGCAAGCAGCGGGAAUGAUUUCCAGCUGCAAACUGAGAAUCCAGCAACGGAUAUGUCAGCUCAGCUUCAAGUACUAGUACUGCGCAAUUGCAACCUUAAUGGAAAUUCUGCCGUUAUACCAAGAUUUCUGUUGCAUCAACAUUCACUAGACUUAAUUGAUAUGUCUAAUAAUAACCUAGGUGGUUACUUCCCAUCAUGGCUGAUAGAGAACAACGUGAACCUAUCAUAUCUAAUUCUGCGAGGUAACUCUUUCAGUGGACCUCUUUUUCCUCCACCCAAAGUACACAUCAAUUUGCAAUGGUUGGAUGCAUCUUGCAACAAGCUAAGCAAAUUAACUAUGGAAAUCAAUGUCUCUUUACCCAAUCUGCAGUACCUAAACUUGUCAGACAAUUCUUUUCAGGGUGUCUUUCCUUCUUCCUUUAACAACAUGGUUAGUCGAGUAGGUGUAGACUUGUCUUCCAACAAUUUCCUAGAUGACAUAGGGGCCGCAUUCAAGAUGAUCGGUAUCGCUAAUUUGAUCCUCUCUCGGAACAAUUUCUAUGGUUCACUCCCUCAAGAACUCCCGCCACAUUUUUCUCAUCUAGUGCUAAAUGACAAUAAAAUCACGGGGAAAAUUCCUGAGAGCAUAUGUUUUAAUAUAUUCCUUACUGUGCUUGAUUUUAGCAAUAACAACUUGAUUGGCUCUCUCCCUACGUGCAUUUAUGCACUCCCUCUUCUCGUCAUCUUGAAUUUAAAAGGGAACUCAUUGGUUGGAUCGAUUCCGUCAGAGAUAUGCCACCUCAAUAGACUUAUCUUUCUUGAUGUCUCGAGAAACAAUCUUUCUGGCCCAAUUCCUUGUUUACCCAAUGUGCAGUACCUUCACCUAAGUGAAAAUCAAUUUAAUGGAACUUUUCCGUUGUCCUUGGGAACUGAUAUAUAUACAAUCGAUCUACAAGGAAACCAGUUCAGUGGCAUCCUUCCAAGGUUGAUGUUCAAGGCCUUUCCAAAGCUACAAAUAAUGUUGUUGGAACGAAAUAUGUUCGAAGGAAUGAUUCCAAAUGAUAUAUGUCAUUUGAAGUGUUUGCGCCUACUAGAUCUGUCUCAUAACAAGCUAUCCGGGAAGCUACCCUCGUGCUUGAGCAAUAUUGGAUCAGAUGAUGAGUCAUUUAAUUUCCAGUACAGUGAUAGAAACAUUACUUCUAUUUUUCUUAUGUUUCCGGUGAGUUCUUAUCAAGAUCUCUUAGCCCAAUAUACUAAAUUUAUUUCGCAACCAGACCAAGAGGAAUUCAUGACCAAGAGCAGGAAGGACUACUACAAGGGUAACAUGCUCAACUACAUGUCUGGACUUGAUUUCUCUUCGAACCAGUUGAAAGGAUCCAUUCCUGAAAGCAUCGGUGACAUGAAAUGGUUACGUGCACUGAAUUUCUCGGCCAAUUACUUCGAUGGAUCUAUACCACAAUCCUUAUCAAACUUAAGUGACCUCGAGAGUUUGGAUCUCUCUCACAACAACUUGGCGGGCCAAAUACCUUCAGAGCUAGCAGCAUUACGGUCCCUUGAGGUGUUCUCAGUGGCAUACAACAACCUGUCUGGUCCGACGCCAGGAAUAAAGGGGCAGUUCAUCACAUUUGAUCAGAGCAGCUACGAAGGAAAUCCAUAUCUCUGUGGCCCACCAUUGUUGAGUUGCUCUGAGGCGCCGUCAGUUCCCGAGCUUGAAGAAAAUAAGGAAGAUGAUAAAGUUGAUGAUAUAAUCCUGUUUGGCUGUUCAGCAAUGUUUUACAUGGUUGGUUUCUGGACUUCCAUGGGUGUGCUUUACUUCAAGACAAGCUGGCGAUGGUCAUGGUUUUCUGUCGUGGACAGGUUCAGCGAUUGUGUAAUGGCUAAAUUGGCAAUAUAUACAAGAAAGAUCCGUGGCGCCAACUGA